UAGACACUCGGAACACUCAUGGAAGCCACUGUAGUCUCUAAUUUUCAUGCAUUGUUCAAAGAAUUAAUAAAAAAAGAUGUGCCAUCUACUAAAGAUGGUGAACCUCAUCAUGCUUGUGGAGACAAUAAACAAAGUGAAAUAGAAGAACAUCAAGGUCAAGGUACAUGCACUUUACUUAAUAUUGUUUUAGUUAAGAACAAGUUACAUUUAUUUUGGUUUGGUAUUGGACUCUUGAGGUUAUACAUUAUGUUUACAGGCACUUAAGGUGGAUUUACAAUAUUAUGCUAGGCCAACGUACCAUCAAAUAUUAAUCGAAAGUGUGGGCUAUUUGACCUUUU